GGUUUUCCUGCAGGACUUGUUAAGACCCACAUGCAGAAUAUGAGCUUCAGCCGACCCUCCCUGGCAAAAGGAAAGUGCGUCAACCUCAAACAAGCAAACUGAACAGAGAAGAUGGGAGUUCUGCAGGAACACAAGGAGAAGCCACGGAAGCAUCGUCCACACGCACAGCCCAGUACAGCCAAAUGGGCAAACGGCGUGUCAGCAUUUGCAGCUCAUCAGCAAGGAGUUCUGGCUGCUCCCCUGGGUAUGACGCCCCCUCCAUCUCCACUCUCCUCAGAAGCAGCCAGCCCAAGCGGAAUCAUUCUGCCCUUUCACUCAGCAGCAGCACUGGCUUUUGCAAAUUAAGGGCCAGAACAGAGAGGUGAUGAGACAAAAACUCAGCCCAGCUUUCAGACAUAGUUGCUACCCACCGCCUUAAGGGCAGAGAUCCGUACCCUGUGUGUGUGCUGCUGUUGGGACAUGGAGGCAGAGACAGUUCAUUCUGCUUUUUUUUUCCAUUGUGCAUGGGUACACAACGUGGCUCUCAGCCUCCUCUACAAUAAUGCUUUGUUUCCCUCAACCAACACCACUCUGUCAGCGAUGUAAAUAAUUUUAGCACAUCCAAACAGGAAGUGGCUGAGUGUUUGGGUGUCUGAAUCAACAUCCUGGAGGCUGGGCCUUUGCCACCAGUGCAAUAACUAAAUGCAUGAGUCGCCUAUGGAUGGAAGCGCAGGUCUUGGAAAUGGCAGAGCCAGUAAAACUCAGUGCCAGAAUGUGACCGUUGCCAAAUAAUACUGUUGCUUGU
rnacentral:lncRNA from 7 species